rnacentral:rRNA from 1 species
CUUAUUUUUAUGUAAGAGUGACGGGCAAUUUGUGCAUUCUUUAGUGUUAGUUAAGUUUUAAAUGAUUUUAAAGUAUCUUACUUCUAAGUUCUAGUUUAAAAAUAGUUACAUAAAUUAAUAGAAUAAAAUAAUAAAGUGAUCCACUAAAAUCUAUAUUAUAAUCUUUGUAUUGAUUUGUCUUUGAAUUUAUAUUAAAUUUGAAAGAGCGUACUUAUAAAUGAAUUUUAGAUUCUAUUGCAAUAAUAUAAAAAAUAAUAAAUACAGAGAAAUCUAACGCGGAUUAUCUAUUACAAAGCAGAACCCCCUAGUUAAAUAAAGAACCGCCAUUUAGUUUAGGUUUCUUUUAAUUAAAUACUACCUGAAUUAAUAUUAAAG